UUAAUUUAUGAGAAAGGCAUUAUUAUUAGGUUUAUAUAUACAAGUAAAAGUUGUAUGUAUGUGUUUGUGGAAUAACGAGUGACGACACCCAACCUUAAAUUGAUCCGUUGAAGUUAGUGAAAAUUCACAAGAAAUCAUUUUAGGAGUAAAAAAUAUUGCAGACCACAUUCGAAAUGAAGAAUUGGGUAAAGAAGAUCCGAGUCCGCCUUCUAGGGCUUUCUCUGUUGAAAUUGAAAGAGGCUUCCUACCUCCCUCCGCCCUAAAACGGUUUCUCUCUUUCCCCUUUCUGUCCUGCUCGAUCCGGUUUUAGGAUUUACAGAAUUUUCGUUUUUCCACAAACUUUAACACCGCUAUACAUUAGUAUAUUGAAAUUGUCACUAUUUCCUUCAGUCAGACAAUUGAGAUUUUGGAAGAAUUUAGUUUCAGAAACGGUAAAUGUGAGAUAAGAGGAUAUAAUUAGCAAACAAUUUGGGCGAGAGAAUGAAUGUACCAUCCAAAUCUCCCUUUUAAUAUUUAUGUUGAGUGGCUAGAUAGUAUUUGCAGGCUUGUAUCCUGUUAACUUCAAUAUUUUACAAAUCUAUUCGGUUGAUGUUUGCGUGAUUCCAUUGUAGUUGAGACUACAAAGAGAACGGAAGAUGCUAAGGUGCUACCAUGCUUCAGAAAAGAUGCAUCCACAAGUCUAGGCUGUCUUACCUAUUGUUUACUUCAAUUGUUGUAUCGAUGAACUUGAGGAUAUAAUUUGGAUAUCUUUGAAGCCUGCCAUGGUAGACAACUCCACCUCCUCCUGAAAUAGAGCACAUAAUUUGCUCACUACUUUUAUCUCCAAAAGAAGAUUAGUGCUAUCUGACCAAGACGAAAGAAAGAUUGUAUGAGUUAAUACAUUAUAGAAAUAUACAGAAAAUAUUCCAUUAGACCUUGUGAUGAAGAUAGAAUCGUAUAAUAUAUUAUAUCUUUAAUUAAUUA